AUGGACACGAGGGCCCCCACUCAGCUGCUGGGGUUCCUGCUGCUCUGGCUCCCAGGUACCACAUUUGCCGUCGUGAUGACCCAGACUCCAGCCUCCACGUCUGCAGCUGUGGGAGGCACAGUCACCAUCAAUUGCCAGGCCAGUCAGAGCAUUAGCAAUUGGUUAUCCUGGUAUCAGCAGAAACCAGGGCAGCCUCCCAAGCUCCUGAUCUACGAAGCAUCCAAACUGGCAUCUGGGGUCCCAUCACGCUUCAAAGGCAGUGGAUCUGGGACACAGUACACUCUCACCAUCAGCGGCGUGCAGUGUGACGAUGCUGCCACUUACUACUGUCAAGGCUACUACUAUAAUAAUAGCUUUGACAGAACUGCAGACGUGGAGGCUGGAGUCUGGGUCAUCACGGUGUCGGCACAACUGGCACCUGAGAAGGGAAACAGAAACACAGAGACCACACUCAUCCUCACGUUCUAA